ensembl:lncRNA
UGUCGCAUAAGUUUAAGCUAACCGAUCGCUCAUCUUGCUAUAAAACAUAACCCGGGCAUCUCCCGUGUGAUAUCCGGCCACUGGAACAUCAACGCUGCUACAGGAGCAUCUUGGCUAAUUGUACCCAUCAAUAAAAAUAGAUUACACACACACACACAAAAAAAAGGCAUCAAUUAAAAGUAAGAAGCUAUGAGAAAGCAGUCACUUUUAAUGCAUCAUUUAUCACAACAACCCGGUGCUCUGCUCCUCUACAAUUUUUAGAACUUCUAUUGCCAUGACAACAGGAUGCAGCCUUUACACAGUGUGGGCCAAACCCUGCCCUUGGUGACUCAGAUGCAAAUUCAGAGUAACUUUGCUGAAAUGCCUGGAACAGCAGCGAUGCAAGUCCACUGUAACGGAGGAAGAAUGGGUCCCGCGCUCUCCUUUAUGUUGGUGGCUUGGGUGGCAAACAUGAAAGACUCAAAAGGCUGCACCUAUGCUCCCAUCUCUGAGCCAAGGCCAACUUUGCUGAAGCCUGUGUGAUUCACUGUAAUGCUGUUGGUUCAUACCAGCUGGGGGAUGGACAAACCAAGGCUGGUAAUCAGAAGAUACCUGCUAUCAGCUGAAAUUGAGGUCCUUCACAGGUGGCAGGUUAGGACUCCAUCCUGUUUUCUGGGAUAUCUCACAGCUCAGCUCCCACCUGCCUCAAGCUGCUCCAGCAGGUCUACACAGUGAAUUAAAUGGAUUUAGGUCCUUUGUCCUAAAUGACAAGCCAGCUUUCACCUCUUGUGUCAGUGCAGAAGAGCAGGUAGGAGAGUGCCCUCAUCACCACAGAGCUGUGACUUCCUGAGGGGGGGGAGAUGCUGUGGGCUCUUGAAGACAGGGGAUCCUGGCUGGUCCCAUUGGAGUAGGCUGUCAAUGUCCAGAUGAAAUUGAAUGACAGGCAUUGAUGUUCAAUUUGUUUUUCAAAAUUUAAACAAAUGUAUUUUAUUUGGAAUGGGCUCCUGGGUUCAGGUUUCCCCCUGUGACUAGUGUUGAACUAUUUUAACAAGGGAAAUUAUAUUUGUUGGUCUAAAGGCUCUAGGGUGCCUAGUCAACAACUUUUUCUUUCUUUCUUUCUUUCUUUCUUUAAUUGCUACAUGUUGUGUUACCUUAUUUUUAACUUGAUUCGCACCAGGGAAAACCAUGCUCCAGAGGAAUUGCAGAUACAGUUUGCAUUGUUUUCAGCCUGCCACGUACUGGCCAAAUAGUUUCUAAAUCACGUGUAUGCUCUCUCACUUUUUCACCCAUAAUUUACUCUGAAUAGUUUCAGGAAUACUUACCCCAGUCAUUUCCCAGGCAGUGAUCUGGUAAGUAAUUCAAAAGUGUUCAUGGUCAUCAUUUAUUCAGAUUACAAACAGGGAAGCAAUUUAACAGUUGCACAGAUAUGGAAACUCCUGAGACCAGCUUUCUUGCCUUUUUUCUCUUACUUUGUUCUUUUUGAAAUAGGACCAUUCUGGUGCUCAUGACGUGGAAAAUAAUUGUCCCACCAUUCUUGCAACUCAUAAAAAAAACUGGAAUUCUACAUCCCCCUGCUGGAAAAAUGUUUUGAAAAUGCACACAACUUUAUGCCAUUACCUAAUCCUUGCUAACCUGGCAGUUUGGAAAGCAAAGCAAACUAAUAUAUACCAAAUUCCUCCUCUUUUUCUGCUUAAUUAGUGGGUAGUCGACCUAUGAGAAUUCCUUUUAAAGCAACAGACCUUUUCUACCGAUGAAAUAUACUGGUCGUUCAACAAGGCACAGCAUUGCUACAGAUUUUGUUGGGGAGAAUGUCUGACAAAUGAAUGCCUUCACAGGAAAAUAAUAACAAGGUUUAAAGGGGGUGGGGGAUCAGAAAUAACAAAUUAGUGUGAUAAAAUUGCCUUCAAAAUCCUGAUGAUGGAAGAAAAAUUUUCCUAAGUGAAUACAGUAUGCUUAAUUAAACUUAAUUGUACAAAGAAGUAUUUGUAAAUGGCUAUAUGUGGAAAAGAAUAAAAAAGAUGGGUGUUUUCUUCUCA